UACGUAGGGUGCAAGCGUUAAUCGGAAUUACUGGGCGUAAAGCGUGCGCAGGCGGUUUUGUAAGACAGAUGUGAAAUCCCCGGGCUCAACCUGGGAACUGCAUUUGUGACUGCACGGCUGGAGUGCGGCAGAGGGGGAUGGAAUUCCGCGUGUAGCAGUGAAAUGCGUAGAUAUGCGGAGGAACACCGAUGGCGAAGGCAAUCCCCUGGGCCUGCACUGACGCUCAUGCACGAAAGCGUGGGGAGCAAACAGG
rnacentral:rRNA from 1 species